rnacentral:rRNA from 1 species
UACGUAGGGUGCAAGCGUUGUCCGGAAUUAUUGGGCGUAAAGAGCUCGUAGGCGGUCUGUCGCGUCGGCUGUGAAAACCCGGAGCUCAACUCCGGGCCUGCAGUCGAUACGGGCAGACUGGAGUUCGGCAGGGGAGACUGGAAUUCCUGGUGUAGCGGUGAAAUGCGCAGAUAUCAGGAGGAACACCGGUGGCGAAGGCGGGUCUCUGGGCCGAUGACUGACGCUCAGGCACGAAAGCGUGGGGAGCAAACAGG